rnacentral:rRNA from 1 species
GAUGAACGCUGGCGGCGUGCCUAAUACAUGCAAGUCGAACGCAUUGUGGUUGAAAUGAUAUGAAGAACUUGUUCAGAUUUGAUUUUCAACAUUGCAAUGAGUGGCGAACGGGUGAGUAACACGUGGGAAACCUACCUCUUAGCAGGGGAUAACAUUUGGAAACAAAUGCUAAUACCGUAUAAUAAUUAAAACCGCAUGGUUUUAGUUUAAAAGAUGGUCUUGCUAUCACUAAGAGAUGGUCCCGCGGUGUAUUAGUUAGUUGGUGAGGUAAUGGCUCACCAAGACAAUGAUACAUAGCCGAGUUGAGAGACUGACCGGCCACAAUGGGACUGAGACGCGGCCCAUACUCCUACGGGAGGCAGCAGUAGGAAGUCUUCCACCAAUGGACGAAAGUACUGAUGGAGCAACGCCGCGUGUGUGAUGGAGGGUUUCGGCUCGUAAAACACUGUUGUAAGAGAAGAAUGACAUUGAGAGUAACUGUUCAAUGUGUGACGGUAUU